UUGGGUUUUUUUUUUUUGAUAGAUGAUUAUUAAGGAUAUAGAAAUGCAUCUGCUUUUCUCAGGUGGAUUUUGUCUCCAGAACCUUGACUGAACUUGUUAAUUAGUUCUAACAGUUUUCAUUGGUAAAGAGUGUAGCAUUCUCUAUGAAGAGGACUUGUCCUCUGCCAACAGAGGCGGCCCUUCCUUGUUCCUUCCUGGUUUGGAUUCCUGUGGUUUCUUUUUCCUCUCAGAUUCCUCUGUCUGGGGUCUUCAGCACUACAUGGAACAGACAUUGCUGCAGUGUGGGCAGCCUCACCUUGGUCAUGAUCUUAAGGAAAAGCCACUACAUACAUACAUACAUACAUACAUUUUUCGGCCACUACAUACAACAUUUGAUGUGGUAGAUCCUGUGUGACCUUUAUUGUCUUGUGGUGCAUUCCUUUUUACCUAAUUUUUGUAGGCCAUCCGUCAUGAAAGAGUGUUGAUUUUUUUCAGAAUCAUCGUUCUACACCUAAUGAGAUAAUAUGAUUUUAUCUUUCAUUCUGUCAGUACAGUUGACCACAUUGAAUUAUUUUUGUGCUUUGAAACAUUUUUGCAACUGGGAUAAAUCUCAUUUGGUCCUAGUGCAUGAUUUAAUCAUGUUCUGUUGAAUUUAUUCUACCAGUAUUAAGGAUUUUUCUGUCUAUGGAAAUGAGGUAUAUUGCCCUGUACCUAUAGGUUUUGCUAAUAUUACAGUAACUGUACAAUCUGGCCUAUUCAAAGCUCAUCCAAGUUGUAUUAAGAAUCCUCCUUCUCAGACAGGAAAGAGAAAGCUAAGCACAUCCCCACCAUAAUUCCUUUCUAUGAACCUGAACUCGCCCUUCUGUGCUGUUCCAGGGAUGGACCCCACACAUUGAGCAAUCGCUGUGGGAGGCCAGGCCAUAAUACUCAAUCUGUCACCUGGUACCAUUAGUCCUGCACCAAAUCCUGUGGGGAAAAGCCACAGAAGUUCUCAUUUGCAUUUACUGCAGAUUUACAUCACUGAUGUGUCCUUUAUCAAAUGAGAUCCUCUGUAGAGACACCCUGAACACACCAAUGUAUUCAUAUAACAGCUUCCUUGACUUCUGUCUUUGUGGACACAGAUAGACCCACCUCAGCAGCCACAGCAUUUCCUGGAGGGUGGGGAGCAGAUGCGGCCAUCCACCCCCUCUACAUGGAAGUUACUGAAGGCUCCAGUUCUGGCCAUUUCCAACAGUGCUGGCAGGAUAAGUACCUAGCUUUCGACAUGCUGGAUGAAGGAAGGGACACAUGCUAAGGACUUGGAAGGGUGCUCCCAAAUGAUUCUGAGGAGUAUCCAUGGUCACAUCUCCCAGGGGAUCUGCCCAGGCCUCUGUCUCCUGUAUUCUCACCAGGGCUGUUCAGCACCAGCCUUAAAACCUGCCCAUUCAGUGGGGACAAACAACCUCUCAGUAGUAAGUGUGUUGACCAUGGUGUGUCAACAUUCAAAGGUUCACAGUUACUAUGCGCAGUGAUUCGUUUUUGAAUUGCAGGAAUUUGUUCUUUGUCCCCCUAGAAAAAUGAUUUUCUCAUGAAGUUUGAUGUGUCCCUGGGAUGUUAAUCUUAUAUCAGUCUAGGUUUUUUGGGGGGAGGGUCCAAUUUUAUUUUAAGUUUUAUUUAUAUUUCACAGCAGAAUGCAUUAAAUUCUUAUUACAUAUAUAGUGCACAAUUUUUCAUGUCUCUGGUUGUUUCAGAAACACUUUGCUAGUUGUAACUUGUCUUUCUAAGUAUGUAUGUUCUUUUUGUUUUUCGAUCAGGAGUCAGUCAUUUCCUUUAUGACUUCUGACCCUUGAGUCAGAAAAAAAAAUGCUUUCAACAUAAAUGUUAUCAAAGUAUUUUCUAAGAAGCUUUCAUUUUACAUAUACACUUAGACCUGCUAGAUGAGUAGCACAUAACAAUAUCCCAGUGAUUUAGGAGGCUGAGGAAGGAGGAUUUAAAGUUGGAGGUCAGUUUCCCCAACCUAGGGAGCUCCUCAGGAACUUAGUGAGACUCCAUCUCAUAAAGAAAAAAAAAAAACUGGAGAUGAGGC
rnacentral:lncRNA from 1 species